rnacentral:rRNA from 1 species
CCUACGGGGGGCUGCAGUCGAGAAUCAUUCACAAUGGGGGAAACCCUGAUGGUGCGACGCCGCGUGGGGGAAUGAAGGUCUUCGGAUUGUAAACCCCUGUCAUGUGGGAGCAAAUUAAAAAGAUAGUACCCCAAGAGGAAGAGACGGCUAACUCUGUGCCAGCCGCCGCGGUAAUACAGAGGUCUCAAGCGUUGUUCGGAAUCACUGGGCGUAAAGCGUGCGUAGGCUGUUUCGUAAGUCGUGUGUGAAAGGCGCGGGCUCAACCCGCGGACGGCACAUGAUACUGCGAGACUAGAGUAAUGGAGGGGGAACCGGAAUUCUCGGUGUAGCAGUGAAAUGCGUAGAUAUCGAGAGGAACACUCGUGGCGAAGGCGGGUUCCUGGACAUUAACUGACGCUGAGGCACGAAGGCCAGGGGAGCGAAAGGGAUUAGAUACCCCAGUAGUC